GAUGAACGCUGGCGGCGUGCUUAACACAUGCAAGUCGAACGGUGAAGCAGGAGCUUGCUCUUGUGGAUCAGUGGCGAACGGGUGAGUAACACGUGAGCAACCUGCCCCUGACUCUGGGAUAAGCGCUGGAAACGGCGUCUAAUACUGGAUAUGUGAUGUGACCGCAUGGUCUGCAUCUGGAAAGAAUUUCGGUUGGGGAUGGGCUCGCGGCCUAUCAGCUUGUUGGUGAGGUAAUGGCUCACCAAGGCGUCGACGGGUAGCCGGCCUGAGAGGGUGACCGGCCACACUGGGACUGAGACACGGCCCAGACUCCUACGGGAGGCAGCAGUGGGGAAUAUUGCACAAUGGGCGGAAGCCUGAUGCAGCAACGCCGCGUGAGGGAUGACGGCCUUCGGGUUGUAAACCUCUUUUAGCAGGGAGGAAGCGAAAGUGACAGUACCUGCAGAAAAAGCACCGGCUAACUACGUGCCAGCAGCCGCAGUAA
rnacentral:rRNA from 1 species